AAAGAUUAAGCCAUGCAUGUCUAAGUAUAAACAACUUUAUACUGUGAAACUGCGAAUGGCUCAUUAAAUCAGUUAUAGUUUAUUUGAUUAUACCUUACUACUUGGAUAACCGUGGUAAUUCUAGAGCUAAUACAUGCUAAAAAUCCCGACUUCUGGAAGGGAUGUAUUUAUUAGAUAAAAAACCAACGCGGGCAACCGCUUGUCUGGUGAUUCAUAAUAACUUUUCGAAUCGCAUGGCCUUGUGCUGGCGAUGUUUCAUUCAAAUUUCUGCCCUAUCAACUUUCGACGGUAGGAUAGUGGCCAGCCGUGGUUU
rnacentral:rRNA from 1 species